rnacentral:rRNA from 1 species
GUAGGUGGCAAGCGUUGUCCGGAAUUAUUGGGCGUAAAGCGCGCGCAGGCGGUUCUUUAAGUCUGAUGUGAAAGCCCACGGCUCAACCGUGGAGGGUCAUUGGAAACUGGAGAACUUGAGUACAGAAGAGGAAAGCGGAAUUCCACGUGUAGCGGUGAAAUGCGUAGAGAUGUGGAGGAAUACCAGUGGCGAAGGCGGCUUUCUGGUCUGUAACUGACGCUGAGGCGCGAAAGCGUGGGGAGCAAACAGGGAUUAGAUACCCUGGUAGUCCACGCCGUAAACGAUGAGUGCUAAGUGUUAGGGGGUUUCCGCCCCCUUAGUGCUGCAGCUAACGCAUUAAGCACUCCGCCUGGGGAGUACGGCCGCAAGGCUG